AAUAACCAAAUAUAACGCCCGGGCUAAGGGUCAAGUUGGUUAUUUUUCUGACAUCCCCCCCCCCAGGGGCCCAGGUAUCAUAUACGCCCCCAAAAUAAAGAGCCUUAAGUACUAGAAGAAAAGCACCUAUACCUAACAAAAUUAAGUGAAUACCUAAAAUUGUAGUCAUUUNAUUUCUAUCUUUCCA
rnacentral:antisense_RNA from 11 species